rnacentral:rRNA from 1 species
UGCGAAGUGGAGCAAAACUCUAAAAAAACAAUCUCAGUUCAGAUUGCAGGCUGCAACUCGCCUGCAUGAAGUCGGAAUUGCUAGUAAUCGUAGGUCAGCAUACUACGGUGAAUACGUUCCCGGGCCUUGUACACACCGCCCGUCAAACCAUGAGAGUUGGCAACACCCGAAGUCGGUAGUCUAACCGCAAGGAGGACGCCGCCGAAGGUGGGGUUGAUGAUUAGGGUUAAGUCGUAACAAGGUAGC